GCACAUGCUGCCGAACCGCAGGGUCUCCGCUCCCUCCCUGCAGGCCCCGGGCUGCUAGCCUGCAAGGCAACCGGAAGAGGCCGAGGAGGAAGGGGACCCCGGAGGCCAGAGGACAUCCUGGGCGCAGAGCCAUGAAAAAGCUGGAGUGAGUUCAGGGAAGAGUGAUAAAGGAGGGAGUUCUGGAAGAAGCCAGAGGAAGGCUGCCUUGCUGAGCUGACCAGGCCACCUCAUGUUAUAGACCAGGAAACCAAGGACUGGAAAACCAGAAUAUUUCAUGAGGACAAGUCAGAGGCCAAUGAAGCGGGUCUCAUCUGUCCUCACCUUCUACGCACAGACAUGCGCUCUGCUCAAGCCUUAAUCGAGGCCACCGCAUCUCAUAUGAAGGGACCCGGUGGCUUGGGAAGCCUUCACGAGUGGGUCCAGGAGGGAGACCUGGCUUCCUGUGGGGCCGCAAAGCCCACCCUCUCAGGGCUCUCAGCCAGCCCGGGAUACUGGUCUGUGCUCCACGCAGGGCACCCAGGAGCCUUGGGAAACACUCGGCCCCGCUACACCCUUGAUCUGAUCCUAAUACCCAACCCUCCCGCCCCGCUGUCGUGCCUGACUCGGUAGAAGAAUCUUCCAGAGAUGCGGGAACGUUGCGUGUUAGGAAGGCCCGUUCAGAAAACAU